rnacentral:rRNA from 1 species
CUAGAAGUGGAUUAGUGGCGCACGGGUGAGUAAGGUAUAGUUAAUCUGCCCUACACAAGAGGACAACAGUUGGAAACGACUGCUAAUACUCUAUACUCCUGCUUAACACAAGUUGAGUAGGGAAAGUUUUUCGGUGUAGGAUGAGACUAUAUAGUAUCAGCUAGUUGGUAAGGUAAUGGCUUACCAAGGCUAUGACGCUUAACUGGUCUGAGAGGAUGAUCAGUCACACUGGAACUGAGACACGGUCCAGACUCCUACGGGAGGCAGCAGUAGGGAAUAUUGCGCAAUGGGGGAAACCCUGACGCAGCAACGCCGCGUGGAGGAUGACACUUUUCGGAGCGUAAACUCCUUUUCUUAGGGAAGAAUUCUGACGGUACCUAAGGAAUAAGCACCGGCUAACUCCGUGCCAGCAGCCGCGGUAAUACGGAGGGUGCAAGCGUUACUCGGAAUCACUGGGCGUAAAGGGCGCGUAGGCGGAUUAUCAAGUCUCUUGUGAAAUCUAAUGGCUUAACCAUUAAACUGCUUGGGAAACUGA